GAUGAACGCUGGCGGCGUGCUUAACACAUGCAAGUCGAACGGAAAGGCUCCUGCUUGCAGGGGUACUCGAGUGGCGAACGGGUGAGUAACACGUGGGUGAUCUGCCCUGCACUUCGGGAUAAGCCUGGGAAACUGGGUCUAAUACCGGAUAGGACGAUGGUUUGGAUGCCAUUGUGGAAAGUUUUUCGGUGUGGGAUGAGCUCGCGGCCUAUCAGCUUGUUGGUGGGGUAAUGGCCUACCAAGGCGUCGACGGGUAGCCGGCCUGAGAGGGUGUACGGCCACAUUGGGACUGAGAUACGGCCCAGACUCCUGCGGGAGGCAGCAGUGGGGAAUAUUGCACAAUGGGCGCAAGCCUGAUGCAGCGACGCCGCGUGGGGGAUGACGGCCUUCGGGUUGUAAACUCCUUUCGCUAGGGACGAAGCGCAAGUGACGGUACCUGGAGAAGAAGCACCGGCUAACUACGUG
rnacentral:rRNA from 1 species